rnacentral:rRNA from 1 species
AGAAUUUGAUCUUGGUUCAGAUUGAAUGCUGACAGCGUGGAUGAGGCAUGCAAGUCGAACGAGAUGGUAGGGUAACUUGCCAUCUAGUGGCGGAAGGGUUAGUAAUACAUGAAUAACUUGCCUUCAACCUGGGGAUAACGGCUGGAAACGGCCGCUAAUACCGAAUGAGGUGAACAAGGGGCAGCCCUAGUUUAUCAAAGUGGGGGACCGGGAAACCGGCCUUGCGGUUGAAGAGAGGUUCAUGGGAUAUCAGCUAGUUGGUGUGGUAAUGGCGCACCAAGGCUAAGACGUCUAGGCGGAUUGAGAGAUUGACCGCCAACAUUGGGACUGAGAUACUGCCCAGACUCCUACGGGAGGCUGCGGUCGAGAAUCUUUCGCAAUGGGCGAAAGCCUGACGAAGCGACGCUGUGUGAGUGAUGAAGGCCUUCGGGUUGUAAAGCUCUUUCGCUUGGGAACAAGAGAGGUUGAUGAAUAAUCAGCUAAUUUGAGGGUACUUAAGUAAAGAAGCACCGGCUAACUCCGUGCCAGCAGCUGCGGUAAUACGGAGGGUGCAAGCAUUAAUCGGAUUUAUUGGGCGUAAAGGGCGCGUAGGUGGAUUUGUAAGUCAAGUGUGAAAUUCCGGGGCUCAACUUCGGAACUGCACGUGAAACUACAAGUCUUGAGGAUUGGCGGAGAAAACGGAAUUCCACAAGUAGCGGUGAAAUGCGUAGAUAUGUGGAAGAGCACCGGUGGCGAAGGCGGUUCUCUAGCUUAUUCCUGACACUGAGGCGCGAAAGCAAGGGGAUCAAACAGGAUUAGAUACCCUGGUAGUCCUUGCCGUAAACGAUGUAUACUUGAUGUAAUUGGGCUCAACCCUAAUUGUGUCGUAGCUAACGCGAUAAGUAUACCGCCUGAGGAGAACGCUCGCAAGGGUGAAACUCAAAAGAAUUGACGGGGGCCCGCGCAAGCAGUGGAGCAUGUGGUUUAAUUCGAUGCAACGCGAAGAACCUUACCCAGGUUUGACAUACAGAGGACGAUAGUAGAGAUAUUAUUUCCCGAAAGGGUCUUUGUACAGGUGCUGCAUGGCUGUCGUCAGCUCGUGCCGUGAGGUGUUGGGUUAAGUCCCGCAACGAGCGCAACCCUUAUCAUUAGUUGCCAGCAUUUAAGUUGGGGACUCUAGUGAGACUGCCUAGGUUAACUAGGAGGAAGGUGAGGAUGACGUCAAGUCCGCAUGGCCUUUAUAUCUGGGGCUACACACGUGCUACAAUGGUCGGUACAGAAGGCAGCGAAAUCGCAAGAUGAAGCAAAUCCCCUAAAGCCGAUCUCAGUUCAGAUUGUGGUCUGCAACUCGACCACAUGAAGUUGGAAUUGCUAGUAAUGGCGAGUCAGCAACACCGCCGUGAAUACGUUCCCGGGCCUUGUACACACCGCCCGUCACAUCAUGGGAGUUGGUUUUACCCGAAGUCGCUGACUUAACCGCAAGGAGAGAGGCGCCUAAGGUGAGGCCGAUGACUGGGAUGAAGUCGGAACAAGGUA